CAGUCGCAAGAUUUAUAUUAUCUUGGCCAUCUCCCGAUCUGCGAGAAACUUUCAAACACCUGAGUGUUACGUACGCAAAUGAAACGUGUAAUCUAUACUAUAUUAAAAGGAUAUAUGAGCUCCAUUGAGCCUAUCCACGUCAGCAUAUAAAAUCAGCCAAUCAUAGUACUUUUUUUUGACACGUCAUAAUAGCUUUCGUAUGGGCUUAACACUUUUGUAUUGGCUCUAUUCAGAUUAUCAUUAGGCCCAUCCCUAACAAAUCUGUUUCUUUCCGCGUCUAUAGUCUCUCCACCCCCUCGACUCUUCCACUUCAUCUUCACGACGCCACCACCGUCAUCAGACGCCAUCGAUCCAGCGCCUCUGCUUCUGAGCGGCGACGAUAACGAGGGAAGCAACAGCAACAGAGGAGGAGAACAACGGAGAUCAUCAUCCGUGAGGAGACCAUGGCUGAGGGAAGCCGCGAGGCUGCUGAGCGGAUCGAGCAGCGGCGGAGGGCGUGCGCUGCGGGAGCCUUCUAUGGUCGUGAGGGAGGCCGCGGCGGAGCAGCUCGAGGAGAGGCAGAGCAAUUGGGCCUACUCGAAGCCCAUCGUGGUGCUGGACAUCGUGUGGAACCUGGCGUUUGUCUCGGUGGCUGGGGCUAUUCUGGUGAUGGCGAGGAAUGAGCAUCCGAUCAUGCCGCUUAGGUUUGACUCUUGGGGUAUGCGUUGCAGUGUGUGUUGCAUAUGGUUUGUGUGUUGGUUGAGUAUAGGAGGAGGAAUAGGGUCAGGAAUAAUAGGACUCCGAGAUCACGUUCUUCUUCUUGGAGGAAAGUCUUCCUCGAUGCUUUGGGUUCCAGGAGGAAUUCACAUGAGGAGGUCUUGAUUGAAAUUAAUAUCUUUAAUUUUGUGAUCCAUCUCCUCUUGAUACUUCUCUUAUAUAAAGCUCUAUCUCUUAAUCUAAAUCUAUCCUAAAUCAAAAAAUCUAAUCUGCAAAAACUACACCCAUGGUUUGGUACUAACGUAAUCUCACCCAAAUCUCAUCGCUCUCCUUACUUAUUUUCUAACUUUUUAUAUUUAGCUUUCAAAACACAUGUGACUAGAAACGUAACCAUUCAGUUAACCGAGCUAACCAACGGAGGAAGACCAGAAAUGGGUCUAAGUCCAAGGUAAAAAUUAAGUCAACUUGUAAUGUGCUUUCAUGUUUAGAAAUCACAGGAAGAAACGUAAAUGUUCGGGUGGUUUACAAAUCAGGAAGGAGUAGAGGGAAGAAAAAGCAAAAAGCCAAGAAAUGGUAGCAUCUCAACAGACGUAGAAGUGAAGAGAGCGAGCGAACAAGAGCCUCCCAAAGAUUACAUUCACGUUAGAGCCAGAAGAGGCCAAGCUACUGAUAGCCACAGCCUCGCUGAGAGGGUAUAUUAGUCUUUUUGGUUUUAAAUUAUAUUUAUUUCUUUAAUGUCUUUAAAUAUAAAAUUAGUUAAUUGAAAUAAGUUGGAUGAAUAUAGGCGUAAAAAAAAUUUCUUAAUAAAUAUGUUAACACAAAAAAAGCGUUAAUAAACACAAUAAAAAAUUUAAAAUAUUUUCAAAUAUAAUUUUUGAUUUUCAAAAAGAAAUUUUGAAAAAAAUAAAACAAAAAAUUUCGAAAAAACAAUUCAAGAAAAAGAGAUUUAUAAAAAAGUUCAAAUUUGAAAAAGUAUAAUUAGAAAACAUAAUUUUUUUAUUUAUGUAAAUAAUGAUUUAUUAUAUAUAUAUAUAAAGGGUAUACGAGUCUUUUACCCCUUAAUGAAAAAUGUAUUUUUAAAAAUGUCUCUUUAGUGGUGGUAAAGAUGAAAAGUGGUACCAUGAAAAUGGUAAACAUAAAAUUUCCCUUUAAUAAUUUUUUUAGCCGGAUUUGGAUUGUGCUGAAAACCGGUAAAUUCACUUAAAACUUGGUCAUACUCACUAAACCAAUGAUGCAGAUCGAUAUUAAAUUUGUUUCUUUAAAAUAAAAUCAAGUUAAAAAUAACUGUACGUUUUAACAAGACUACAUUAAAAAAAAAUCUAUAUUAGCUUUUAUUAUCUAUCUAACUAAAUUAGUUUUCAAUAUAUUUUAUAUUAUUUUGAACUUUUCAUUUUAUUUUCAUAUUAUUUUUAGAUCUAACAAAAAUAUAAAGUUUUAUAAAAAAUAAUUUUAUAAUUCAUAUAUAUAGUUACUUAAAUUUAAAUUAUAUUAAAUUUUAAAAUCCGGCAGAACCGGUCCGACCACUGACCCAACUAAAAUACUGAGCCAUUGUCCGAUCCGGUUUCCAAAAUAUUGGUGGCAAGGAUAGAAUUAAUAUCGUCCACUUUAUAAAUAAUCAAAAUAAAAAAAACUAUAUUGAUAAUAAAAAAAUAUAUAUGAUCUUAAAUUUAUAUUAAUAUGUUAAAUUUACAUAAAAGUCAAUUCAUAUGUAUACUUAGUUUUGUUAGUUAGAUAUACCCUAAAUGUUUUUCAGAUUAUAAUAGUGAUUAUGUUCUUCCAACAUUUUGAAAAUGGAAAAUAUAAAACAACAAGUGAAAAAAUUGCACAAUUAUUUAUACCAAAAUAAAAUGAAUUUUUUUGGUUAAAAAAAAUUAUAAAAACAUUAUUUUGUAAAACUUUUGUGUAUUAUUAAUAGUACUUAUCAAACGACCACUUGGUUAACUACAAUGAUUUUAUCAAUCACUAUUUUUUCUAUUUAGUCUAACAUUAUAUUUAUUUUUUUUCAACUAUAAGUUUUGUUAAACAAUACAAAUAUAUGUAAAAUAAAUUAUUGAAAACUUUGUUUUAGCCAUUAUCCGCGCGUAGCGCGGACAAAAGAUCUAGUUAUGUAUAAUCGUAUGUUAAUGCACGCAUGUAAACAAGAAUCUCUUGGCAGUUUUCAAAACUUUCCUCUCAUGGAUUCGUUUCCUUUUCUAUCUGAUCUCCCUCUAUCUCUCGCCGUGGAAUGAAGAAAAUGCGCUACAGAUAAAGUAAUGAUGAUGAUGAAGAAGAAGAUGCCAAUUCGGUUC
rnacentral:lncRNA from 1 species